GCUCGAGUGGCGAACGGGUGAGUAACACGUGAGUAACCUGCCCUUGACUUUGGGAUAACUUCAGGAAACUGGGGCUAAUACCGGAUAGGAGCUCCUGCUGCAUGGUGGGGGUUGGAAAGUUUCGGCGGUUGGGGAUGGACUCGCGGCUUAUCAGCUUAUUGGUGGGGUAGUGGCUUACCAAGGCUUUGACGGGUAGCCGGCCUGAGAGGGUGACCGGCCACAUUGGGACUGAGAUACGGCCCAG
rnacentral:rRNA from 1 species